UACAGAGGUCUCAAGCGUUGUUCGGAUUCAUUGGGCGUAAAGGGUGCGUAGGCGGCGCGGUAAGUCGGGUGUGAAAUCUCGGAGCUUAACUCCGAAACUGCAUUCGAUACUGCCGUGCUUGAGGACUGGAGAGGAGACUGGAAUUUACGGUGUAGCGGUGAAAUGCGUAGAUAUCGGGAGGAACACCAGUAGCGAAGGCGGCUCGCUGGGCCAUUCCUGACGCUGAGACGGCGAAAGCUGAGGGGAGCAAACGGGG
rnacentral:rRNA from 1 species